UACUCGACCUGUCACUCGAUCAC
rnacentral:siRNA from 1 species